AGUAUAUAUCUCAGUGAAGUGGUUGGCGAAGCCUGAUGCAGAUAUCUUACUUUGCACCUUUGCCGUCAACCCAACACAUGCAAUAGAUGGUUGUCCACUGCAGGAGUUUGUCCUCCCAUACCAAGUGCCGUUUUCCAGAUUAGGAUUCGGCACUUAGUCAUAUUUUAUAUAAAACCUGGUAUUAAACUGACUCUAAUGACCCAGUCAUAUUUUAU